rnacentral:Y_RNA from 1 species
GGUUGGUCUAAAGUAGUGAGUUAUCUCGAUUGUUCACAGUCAGUCACAGGUUGAACUCCUUGUUCUAUUAUUUGCCCCCUUCUCACUACUGCACUUGACUAGUCUUAA